AGGUAGUCCGCGUUGGCAGUGUGGUUAGCUGGUUGUUUAAAUUGCUACAACAGCCAGUAACGACACUGCCUCCGCGUGCUACCU
rnacentral:pre_miRNA from 1 species